UGCAAUUCUGUAUUAGUAUCACUAAAAGGUAAAGUAAUAUUCACUACUGACUCCACCCAUCCUUGUAUUUCCUUGCCGGCGGCAUCUUACAAGCUACAACAUCAAUGGAUCACAUCCUCACUCAAACUUUUCCCUGCCCACGCAGCAGCACAUGCUAAUUUCAAACCUACUAAGAUUUCCUAUUUCAGUCGCAUAACUGAAGUGAACCAUUUGACAGAUACUUAAGUUUCUCAGUGAAAUAAAUGCAGGAUCUUCUGCUCAAACAUUGAACGAAGAGAAAAGAUGGUUUCUACAGAGAGAUAACAAGUUGAUGAUUGUGUCAAGAAGAUCACUGAAUGGAGAAAUAUGGAAGUGACAAUAAUUUCAUGGUUAUCAACCAAAAGGAUAUUGAUCCUCCACCCCUCCAUCUCCAAGCAAGAGCAGGGGUAACCAAUUCUGACUUGUCACUACAUGAUGGUUCUGCACUUACAUUCAACCUUGAUUUGUUUUGGGGUUCCAUUUUAGUUAAGAGAGUGUGUCAUGAUGUCCCCAGCUGAACUUGGAACAUGAAAGUUGGCUGACAUUAUACAUAAUAGUACUCUAUAAGCCACAAAAUAACUAGUUAAGUUUGAGGCAAAAGCAAUGUAGAAAUACAAGUUCAGCAACCUUUUUUGGCGGGCUUGUACUUGAAGGGCUAAUGCCUAUACAUAAGGUAUGUAACUAUAUACAAAGACCAUGUCAAAAAAACUAUAAACUAAGACCUAAGCAUGACAAUUGAUCUUCCAAGUGAUGCAUGUACAUGUCUCUGUGGCCGACAACCAUUUGCUUAUGUCCAGAACAUGCAAGUAACAUAUAUGUUUUGCUGCCAACAAAGAGAGUUACUAAUGUCGGCAAUAGUUAGUGGCUCGGUACAUAUGAAUUUAUUUUACAACAGUCAUAUUCCAAUGCUAACCAAGCUUCUUCCUUGCUAUUAGUAGAAAUACAGAUUCAACAAUAAAAGUUGUACUCCACCAUACGCUCCUAUCCAAAGUUCUAAUUAUUUCAGCAGCAGCUCUAGUUCAGUUCAGACCAACAGCAAAAACUAGUCGGAUUCUAAAACCAGUGCAGCUACGUACUAGCAAUAACAUUCAU